rnacentral:rRNA from 1 species
UGCGCGGCUUACACAUGCAGUCGAGCGCCCCGCAGGGGAGCGGCAGACGGGUGAGUAACGCGUGGGAAUCUACCUUUUGCUACGGAACAACAGUUGGAAACGACUGCUAAUACCGUAUGUGCCCUUCGGGGGAAAGAUUUAUCGGCAAAGGAUGAGCCCGCGUUGGAUUAGCUAGUUGGUGAGGUAAAGGCUCACCAAGGCGACGAUCCAUAGCUGGUCUGAGAGGAUGAUCAGCCACACUGGGACUGAGACACGGCCCAGACUCCUACGGGAGGCAGCAGUGGGGAAUAUUGGACAAUGGGCGCAAGCCUGAUCCAGCCAUGCCGCGUGAGUGAUGAAGGCCCUAGGGUUGUAAAGCUCUUUCACCGGUGAAGAUAAUGACGGUAACCGGAGAAGAAGCCCCGGCUAACUUCGUGCCAGCAGCCGCGGUAAUACGAAGGGGGCUAGCGUUGUUCGGAUUUACUGGGCGUAAAGCGCACGUAGGCGGAUUUUUAAGUCAGGGGUGAAAUCCCGGGGCUCAACCCCGGAACUGCCUUUGAUACUGGAAGUCUUGAGUAUGGUAGAGGUGAGUGGAAUUCCGAGUGUAGAGGUGAAAUUCGUAGAUAUUCGGAGGAACACCAGUGGCGAAGGCGGCUCACUGGACCAUUACUGACGCUGAGGUGCGAAAGCGUGGGGAGC